GACGAACGCUGGCGGCGUGCUUAACACAUGCAAGUCGAACGGAAAGGCCCCUUUGGGGGUACUCGAGUGGCGAACGGGUGAGUAACACGUGAGUAACCUGCCCUUGACUUCGGGAUAACUUCAGGAAACUCGGGCUAAUACCGGAUAGGAAUCCUUGCUGCAUGGUGGGGGUUGGAAAGCUUCGGCGGUUUUGGAUGGACUCGCGGCUUAUCAGCUUGUUGGUGGGGUAGUGGCUUACCAAGGCUUUGACGGGUAGCCGGCCUGAGAGGGCGACCGGCCACAUUGGGACUGAGAUACGGCCCAGACUCCUACGGGAGGCAGCAGUGGGGAAUAUUGCACAAUGGGCGGAAGCCUGAUGCAGCAACGCCGCGUGCGGGAUGACGGCCUUCGGGUUGUAAACCGCUUUCAGCAGGGGCGAAGCUUGUGGUGACGGUACCUGCAGAAGAAGCACCGGCUAACUACGUG
rnacentral:rRNA from 1 species